UCGCUAGCUUUAGCCUUUGGUUUUUACGGGUAACCUCUUUCGCUUCUCAAACUAUUUGUAUCUGAGAGAGAGAGAUAACAGAGAUAAAGCCAUAGAGAUAGAGCAAGAAAGAUAAGAGAGAUCCAAACCAGAAGCAAUCUUCUCCAUUUGCUUUUUUUGUUUAUUUCUCUUUUUUUCGUUUGAAGAUUGUUAUCUCUUUUCUCUGGCAAACAUACAAGUUCGCUUUUGUCCUAGAUUGUGAUCCGGUCUCUACAAGGUUACAGUGAAAAACGUGAAUCUUUGUUUAAUUGUGUAAUACGUUGAAGCUCAGGACCUACCGUUUCGUCUCGAGGAGAAACAAAUGGUAAGCUACUAACGAUGAGUGGAGGAGGAGGAAAUAUGGGAGGGCUAAUAAUAACUGUUGCCUUGAGCUAUCUCAAAGCUUGAAGGAUAUGUUUCAAGACAAGCAAGAGAAGUAUGACACUUUCCUUGAAGUCAUGAAAGACUCUAAAGCUCAGAGGUUACAGUGAAAAUCGUGAAUCUUUGUUUUAUUGUGUAAUUAAUAUUCCGGUGAAAAGAGAUGAAGAGGGUUAGAGAAGAGGUCUACGUUGAAGCUCAGGACCUACCGUUUCGUCUCGAGGAGAAACAAAUGGUAAGCCACUAACGAUGAGUGGAGGAGGAGGAAAUAUGGGAGGGCUAACAAUAACUGUUGCCUUGAGCUAUCUCAAAGCUUGAAGGAUAUGUUUCAAGACAAGCAAGAGAAGUAUGACACUUUCCUUGAAGUCAUGAAAGACUCUAAAGCUCAGAGGUGAAAAGAGAUGAAGAGGGUUAGAAAAGAGGUCUACGUUGAAGCUCCGAUACGAGGACCUACUGUUUCGUCUUGAGGAGAAACGUAAGCUCUUUUUGUUUUUUGAUUUGUGUUCUUUUCAAAUUCUGCUUUUUUGUUUGUUUGUUUGUUUAUAAGGAUAUUAGUUUGAUUUUUCUCUCAUUUAGGAUAUUUUGUUUGAUUUGUGCGAUUAUGCUAUGGCUCGGUGAGACGAGAUGAUGAUAAUACCGUAUUUUGACCACUUUUAUGAAUCGUUUUGAAAUACUUUUUCUAUGUUUUUAAUUGCUUUCAAGUACUUUUAUUACGUUUUUCUAGUAUUUGUAGUUCCAAG